rnacentral:rRNA from 1 species
CCUACGGGGGGCAGCAGUGAGGAAUAUUGGUCAAUGGGAGAGAUCCUGAACCAGCCAAGCCGCGUGAGGGAAGACGGCCCUAUGGGUUGUAAACCUCUUUUGUCGGAGAACAAAACCCGGGACGUGUCCCGGACUGCGUGUAUCCGAAGAAAAAGCAUCGGCUAACUCCGUGCCAGCAGCCGCGGUAAUACGGAGGAUGCGAGCGUUAUCCGGAUUUAUUGGGUUUAAAGGGUGCGCAGGCGGAUUUUUAAGUCAGCGGUCAAAUCGUGGGGCUCAACCCCAUCCAGCCGUUGAAACUGGGGAUU